rnacentral:lncRNA from 1 species
CAAGUGCUAUAAAUGAGCACAUUGCAUAACACUUCAUAAAAUCUUGAAAAAGGUUCAGGUACCUGAAAUAAUGAAAAAUGAAGAGAUCUCGAUAAGUUAUGUCUUGUUGGAAUCGAUAUCAAAUAACCGUCGACGGUAUCUUUGAUAUGAGGUAGCUCUCAAUGAUAUAAAUUGUGAUGAGGAUCUUGAAUUCAAAUCUAUCAUAUAGUGUGGACAGAUAAAUGGUUGGC